rnacentral:rRNA from 1 species
AGGUUACUGCUAUCGGUGUUCGCCUAAGCCAUGCGAGUCAUAUGUUCGUAAGAACAUGGCGUACUGCUCAGUAACACGUGGAUAACCUGCCCUUGGGUCCGGCAUAACCCCGGGAAACUGGGGAUAAUUCCGGAUAACGCACAUAUGCUGGAAUGCUUUAUGCGUAAAAUGGAUCCGUCUGCCCAAGGAUGGGUCUGCGGCCUAUCAGGUAGUAGUGGGUGUAAUGUACCUACUAGCCUACGACGGGUACGGGUUGUGAGAGCAAGAGCCCGGAGAUGGAUUCUGAGACAUGAAUCCAGGCCCUACGGGGCGCAGCAGGCGCGAAAACUUUACAAUGCGGGAAACCGUGAUAAGGGGACACCGAGUGCCAGCAUCCUAUGCUGGCUGUCCGGGUGUGUAAAAUACACCUGUUAGCAAGGGCCGGGCAAGACCGGUGCCAGUCGCCGCGGUAACACCGGCGGCCCGAGUGGUGAUCGUGAUUAUUGGGUCUAAAGGGUCCGUAGCCGGUUUGGUCAGUCCUCCGGGAAAUCUGACAGCUUAACUGUUAGGCUUUCGGAGGAUACUGCCAGACUUGGAACCGGGAGAGGUAAGAGGUACUACAGGGGUAGGAGUGAAAUCUUGUAAUCCCUGUGGGACCACCUGUGGCGAAGGCGUCUUACCAGAACGGGUUCGACGGUGAGGGACGAAAGCUGGGGGCACGAACCGGAUUAGAUACCCGGGUAGUCCCAGCCGUAAACGAUGCUCGCUAGGUGUCAGGCAUGGCGCGACCGUGUCUGGUGCCGCAGGGAAGCCGUGAAGCGAGCCACCUGGGAAGUACGGCCGCAAGGCUGAAACUUAA